rnacentral:lncRNA from 1 species
CUAAGUGAACCCCACAUUAUCUGAUUCCUUCCUCCUUCCAUUGGAGCUGUGACUGGGGUUCAUACUUGAACCACCCCCACCCCCAGGCAGUCUCUAGAUGGGAUCUUCACCUCCGGAACUGUGAGCCUUGAACUGCACUGUGACAUCUUUGGUGGUCCUCAGAGGGGACUCCUCUAGUCCUCUGCACGCCUUCUCAACUUUAACCUGCAGGGGUGCAUCCCCAGGGAAGGAAGUACCACUUAGCACUGUGGUUUUCAACACUAGCAUGCUGCCACUUGUGAGAGACAAGGCAAUUCCUGAGAACCCUCUAUACUUCCUGCCUAGAACACACCCUCUAGGUGUUUCUUUAUUUUCUCCAGUUCCACAUAAACAUUCCUCCUCUGAGCUGGGCUCUGUCUGGUUUCCUCUAAAACCUUACUUCCUACACAGCAUGACUGAGUUGUGGCUGGGGCCCUAGCCUCUCAGGAAAUGUCUCAUCCUCACUGGAGUCUGAAUAUAACCACCUCCCACUCUGGAAUACUUUUGUUGAGCAGAACCUUCCUCCUGAAGACUGUCAGGGACCAAGGCAUCGGCCAGCAGCUGGACCCAGUUCUGCUGAGUGGUUCUUUCUCCUGGCCCUUCCUGGGCCCUCUGGUCCUGAUCCUACUCUGCUUCUUCAGGAACCACUUUGGACACUUCCUGGAAGAGAAGUUUCCUUCCAAUUGCUAAACAACACCAUGACAUCUGCAGGCCUCUCAGCCCAAAGGUUUGAUUUUCUGAGAAAUUCACUCUGGUGUCUUGGGAAGCUGACCGCACUGGUUGGCUGCUAUUUCUGGAAGCGUCAGCUAUGAUCAUCCCAAAGCUUUCAAAGUGAGCCACAUUCUUGACUCGUAAGUGCUUUAGGUCAUGAGUUCAAGGAGUGUCUGCCUCUUUCCACGGAGAAUCUCUAGUCAGUGUAAGGGGUACGGAACCCAUCUGCAAAUAAAAAGACAGAGACAAUUAAAAAAAUAAAAGAAAACUAAUUGAUGAUUCUUCUACCUACAAUGUGGCCCUACUGUAUUCACUAACAUCCUACAACACAACUAACAUUUUUAUAAGAAUUUGAGGGCAAGUUUUGUAACUAUAGGAACAAGGCAACUAAUAUAUUAAGAGAACGUAAGAAAAAUUUCACCGCUAGUAUUUACCAUAGUCAGUCAUGCUAUGGGUCUUAGUCACUGAAUGAGAAAGGUUCGUUUGUUUUUUUGAGGGAAUAUAUGCCAAUUAAGUGAAUAUAAAAUAGAAGAUGAUUUUUAAAUAAAGGUAGCCUGGUAGAUUUCACUGGUUUUCUACAGUUUAAUUUUUUUUUUUUUUACCAAGUAUAUAAGUUCUUUUGAUUUGUAUAAAUUCCCUAAGAAUUUAAAAAGAACCAAAGAGAAGGGAUCCCUGGGUGGCGCAGCGGUUUGGCGCCUGCCUUUGGCCCAGGGCGCGAUCCUGGAGACCCGGGAUCGAAUCCCACGUCGGGCUCCCGGUGCAUGGAGCCUGCUUCUCCUUCUGCCUAUGUCUCUGCCUCUCUCUCUCUCUCUCUCUGUGACUAUCAUAAAUAAAUAAAAAUUAAAAAAAAAAAAAGAACCAAAGAGAAAAGUCUAAAAAGGGGAGGAAGUAGGAAGAGGAUAAGACAGAUAAAGAACACUUAUUCAGACCCACUCAGUACAACCAUCUCAUACCAAUUUAACCUUCCUACAUACCUGGCCAACCCAGGCUGGGGCAGGGAGACACACAGGUUGAUGAAGAUGAGACAGAAAUGCUCCAGGUCAAGCAAAAAAGCCAGCAAGUCACAAGUUCACCUGUCAAUCAAAUAUGCUACUCACCAAAACUGGACUCCUAACAAACUCCCACUUAAGAAAAAAUUAAAUCAUUGCAGCCCUUUAUUCCUAAUAUAAGGCAAAUUUUAUAAAAUAAAACUUCUUCUUCCUCUCUUCUCUGCCUAAUUUGCCAGUUUCCCUUGAGGCAGCUCCAG